CACAUGCAAGUCGACCGUAAGGUUUAAUCGGUGGAUACACGACCGGCGAAUGGGUGAGUAACACGUAUGCAACUUACCUUUAACUGGAGGAUAGCGGAGGGAGAACGGAAUUAAUACUCCAUAGUAUUCUGAAAAUGCAUGUCUUCAGAAUUAAAGCUCCGGCGGUUAAAGAUAGGCAUGCGGGGCAUUAGUUAGUUGGUAGGGUAACGGCCUACCAAGACUGCGAUGCCUAGGGGGUCUGAGAGGACGAUCCCCCACACUGGCACUGAGACACGGGCCAGACUCCUAGGGGAGGCAGCAGUGAGGAAUAUUGGGCAAUGGGCGAAAGCUUGACCCAGCCAUGCCGCGUGCAGGAUGACUGUCCUAUGGAUCGUAAACUGCUUUUCUACGGGAAGAAUCCCCCCGAUUCUUCGGGGGUUGACGGUACCGUAUGAAUAAGGGUCGGCUAACUCCGUGCCAGCAGCCGCGGUAAUACGGAGGACCCAAGUGUUAUCCGGAUUUACUGGGUUUAAAGGGUGCGCAGGCGGAAUAAUAAGUCGAUGGUGAAAGGCUACAGCUUAACUGUAGAAUUGCCAUUGAUACUGUUAUUCUUGAGUGCAGUCGAAGCGAGCGGAAUGUGUAGUGUAGCGGUGAGAAUGCGUAGAUCUUACGCAGAGCACCGAUUGCGUAAGCAGCUCGCGAGGCUGUUACUGACGCUGAGGGUCGACAGCGUGGGUAUCG
rnacentral:rRNA from 1 species